rnacentral:rRNA from 1 species
UACGAAGGGGGCUAGCGUUGCUCGGAAUCACUGGGCGUAAAGGGCGCGUAGGCGGCCAUUCAAGUCGGGGGUGAAAGCCUGUGGCUCAACCACAGAAUUGCCUUCAAUACUGUUUGGCUUGAGUUUGGUAGAGGUUGGUGGAACUGCGAGUGUAGAGGUGAAAUUCGUAGAUAUUCGCAAGAACACCAGUGGCGAAGGCGGCCCGCUGGGCAGUGGCUGACGCUGAGGCGCGACAGCGUGGGGAGCAAACAGG